ensembl:lncRNA
CCCCAACCCCACCUCCACAAGUCUCCCUACUGUCUCCACAACCCCCACACCCUUCCUUUACUUUUACAAGCUAAUAUCUUUGACAAGUUUCUUAAAUCAGCGAUAGGGGCCUGCCUCGGUGAUUGAGCCGGCUGUCAGUUUAAAGAUGUCGCCCGGAGGCUCAGGCUUGACUCACUCCAGCAGGAGAAUGGGAGCGCUUUGUGUUCGAGCCCACUCCUAGUGUCCAUUGGAUUAGUGCUAUUAUGGGAACUUCCAUUCUGACACCUAAAUCAUCAUCACCACCACCACCAUCAUCAGAGGAGGAGGAGGAAGAGGAGAAGGAGGAGAAGAAAGAAGAGGAGGAGGUGGAGGAGGAGGAGGAGAGCCGAGCCAAAUGUGGCGUGAAAUGGACCCGAGCAGCCCUCACUCAACGUGUCCCAUCUGCCAGUCUCCUGCGCUCCUCUGCCAGAGUGCGGAGUGAGGAGUGGAGAGUGCCAAGAUGCCGUCUCACUCUCGGCUGGAGAGGAGUUGAUUCGCCCGGAAGUGCAUCAAGUGCAUCAUGCGAAGGCAGAUGGGUGUGUGUUUUUUUUUCUUUUCUUUUUGUUUAAUUGUCAUCAUGGAUCCUUCUAUCCCCAUCUUUUGGCAGGGCACAACAGUGACGACAUCCAGUCUUUUCUGUCUCACCAUCCCGUUCCGUUUCCAUGGCUGUUCAGAUGUUACCCCAGGUCUUCGCUGAGGCUUUUCAAUCACAGCCUUGAAAAAACUGUCUUUAUACAAAAACCCCCAUCCUCAGCCCGGGUUCUUCUUUUUUUUUGGUUCCAGGCCAGAGCACAAUGAGCAAGGAUACCAGACGUAAAUACAGACACGCUCAGAUAGAGAGAUGGAGAAAGGGUGAGGAAGGGAGAGGCCGUCAACUCUACUCUUCACUUCACCCUACUUUGCAGAGAGUGCCUCCCGUCCAAUUAGAAGAUAAAAGCAACCACUUACGCCAUGCUGCAGCUCGGUCGGGCUGCGCUGAGAGACGGCCCCCAUAAGUGCUGUGCUCCCGUUGCCAUGGUCACCUGCCAACGCUGCUCCCAGGUUCCAUCUCUC